rnacentral:rRNA from 1 species
CCUACGGGAGGCUGCAGUGGGGAAUAUUGCACAAUGGGCGCAAGCCUGAUGCAGCCAUGCCGCGUGUGUGAAGAAGGCCUUCGGGUUGUAAAGCACUUUCAGCGGGGAGGAAGGCGCUAAGGUUAAUAACCUUGGCGAUUGACGUUACCCGCAGAAGAAGCACCGGCUAACUCCGUGCCAGCAGCCGCGGUAAUACGGAGGGUGCAAGCGUUAAUCGGAAUUACUGGGCGUAAAGCGCACGCAGGCGGUCUGUCAAGUCGGAUGUGAAAUCCCCGGGCUCAACCUGGGAACUGCAUUCGAAACUGGCAGGCUAGAGUCUUGUAGAGGGGGGUAGAAUUCCAGGUGUAGCGGUGAAAUGCGUAGAGAUCUGGAGGAAUACCGGUGGCGAAGGCGGCCCCCUGGACAAAGACUGACGCUCAGGUGCGAAAGCGUGGGGAGCAAACAGGAUUAAUACCCUAGUAGUC